AAGCGCUUGCAAUCAGACUUGCAUGCAGUUGAUCAUCCGAUGUUCUCACCGGUGCACUCAUCUGCAUUCAGGCCAGCAUCGGUUUUGGUGGUUAGAUAAAGGCCCUGGGAAUGUAGCUUCUUUCGGGGAGUGUUAUAGCCCAUUGUGUAAUACCCUGUGGUGGACUGAGGUUCGCGCAUCUGCAAGGAUGCUGGCGUAAUGGU
rnacentral:rRNA from 1 species